AAUUUCUGUUGACUCGUUAUUUUUUAAUAUUUGAUAUAUUUUGGCUUCUUGCCCUUUUCAUUUGAUUAAUGGGAUUCUUCCAUUCUAUAUAUAUAUAAAAUAUGUGUUGUUAGAAAAAAUGUCCUAUAUAAUUUUUUUUUAUCCCAAACUACAUUGUCAGGUGAUUUCUUUUCACCUUUUAAAAGCAUUUGACUUCUUGCUAACAUCUGCUGCAGCCCUUCCACAUCCACAAAAUAUUCCAGUUUCUAUUCUUCACAGUCUGUUCGUGAAGGGUGACAUGAUGGGGUUUGAACUGGGAGAGGAUGACUUGGAGGCUUCUGGGCUAUAUCCAGACCUGGAAUUUAGAACAAUCGAUCAACUUCUUGAUAUUUUUCUCACUAGCCCUCCAGAUCCUGCAGCUGCUGCUUUUGAAUGAGUUUUAUGAUCUGUGAUUUCCAUGUCUUGAAUUUGUUUUCUUGUUUGUAACGUCCGCAGAUAGACGGACAUCUAAAAGGUCAGGUUACUCUGGUCUACGUUCGUAUUGUGUUGGGUUACUUGUUCACGCAUCAUGUUUAUCACAUGAAAGUUUCUUCUUUUUUUUUCUUUUUUUUUUGCUUUCCUUAUCAUUUUCUCGAGUUCAAGAUUGUGUGACUUUUUUUUUUUUUUAGUACUCGAGAUGCUAUUAAAAGAGGACCAGAUUACCAAUAAGUUAAUGUAAAUCUAGUUGGUAGGGGAGAAGAGUUCGGACCCAGAGAGAAAAAAAGAUGGCAGGAAAACAAGAGCAAAAACUAUACACAAGUCAGCAUUAAUUAGACCAGAGUAGAAUGCCUUGGGGACCUCUUAGCAGAUCAUCCCCACUGUAGGUGAAAUUAGAGUCUAGAGUUCUGAGCCUCUGAAGAAUGAGAUCAAAGAUGGAAUUCCAAUCUUUAUCCGUAGUGUUUGGCAUACACCAACUGGUACCGAUCCAGUUUAUAAAAUGUUGCCAUAAUUUCCAAGAUUUAUAGCCAUGAGAUUUAUACUCUAGUGCCACAGAAAGGACAAGAUGCUUCUUCUAGUGUAAUUAAAUUUCUCUUUACAAGGAUGCAUCUUGAAGUAUAGAAAGAAAGAUGGAGAAGUUUUCAUAAAACAAUUUAGUUAGUUUAUUAAUUUUAAUAAAUUAAUUUUUUUACAAAUUUGACUGCAAAAAAAUAAUUUGUUGGGAUAGGGCUGGCAAUGAUAUUAUCGAGAAGGUUUGAGAUAAUUAUAACACAACUAAGUAAGAUUGAAUUCAAUUUGUAUUUUUUAUUAUUUUUUUAAAAAUUCAGAUUUUUUUUAUGUUUUGAAUUAUUUUAAUAUGCUAAUUUAAAAAAAAUAAUAUUAUUUUAAUAUAUUUCAGAAAAAAAACAACUGCAAAAACUUUAAAAAUUAUUAAAUUAAAUUUUUAGUAUUUGUUUUUGAUAAUUUUAAUAUAUUUAUAUAAAAAGUUAAAAUAAUAUUAUUUUAAUAUAUUUUUAGAUAAAAAAUAUUAAAAAAAAAAACAUUUUGAGAAGACAUUAUCAUGUACACACAGUUCACAGGUUGAAGGUCAAAGAAGGGAACCUCACAUCACAGAAAUUACUCCUGUUGGAAAGUGAUUUAUCGUACUGACAAGAGACCACACACCGAAGAAAUAUUAAAGAAUUGAAGUGAAGUGGGGUGGGGACCAUCCUAACUCCAUUUAAAACAUUGCUGUGUGUUUAUGUCAAACCUGCGCACCACCUAGUACAUAGGACCCUUCAAUAAUUCUACCUUGCUCACACAACACAUGAAACACGGUUCAGCCUUGGUAAGCCGCCUUCCAUUUGUCCGACCUUCGUUUUCUUUUUCUUUUUUUAUAAAAAUUUAUUAAAAUAAUAUUUUUUAUUUUUAAAAAAUUUAAUUUUUAUACUGCCAUCCCAUUAAUAUUUGAAUCACAUUCCUAAAAUGUUUUUGUGUUUUAAAAUUAUUUUAAAAAAAUUAAUUCUUUUUAUUUUUUUAAUUUUAAAUUAAUAUUUUUUAGUAUUUUUAAAUUAUUUUAAUACAUAGAUAUCAAAAAUAAUUUUUUAAAAAUAAUUUAUUUUUUAUUUUAAUAUAUUUUUAAAUAAAAAAUAUUUUAAAAAACAAUCACAAAAAAAACUUACAAACAAGCUUUAAAAUGAGUCCGAGUACAGAGAAAGAUGAAGAUGCUAGUAAUACGUGGAAGAAGAUAUGCUACCUAUGCUAGGAAAACAUCCUUUAUUUAAAUAUUCUAAAUUGAAAUUCCAUCCAAAAGUUACAAAACAAAGCAAACAUAGGAGGAUAUUUGGUUACACCUUCCACCUUUUGAAUUCUCAAGCCAUCAACCCUUCAAAAUUUGAGGUCUGAUGAAAAAUUGCAUUAAAUAAUAAUAAAUGAAGGGGAAAAAGAACUAACUACUCCCUUUUCCAUUCAAGGAAACCAUCGUGUAUUUGAAUUGAUUCAAAUUCAAAUCUGAAAUCUUUUUUAUUAGGGUUUGUAUUUAUGGGAUUCAAUCAACAUAUCCGAUUUUUAAACGAAACAACUCAAAACUGCAAAUCCUUGUUAAAGGAAGAGGGGCCUGAGCGGGAGUGAUUUUUUGGAUAAUGGGUUGACUCUGACUCGGGCUUGAACCAUCCAAAACUACCCGCCCUUGAUCAUCUUUUACUUUUCCAGAUUUUUGCCCAGUUCAUUUCCAAAAAUAGGUUUGCUUUGGAGGUUUGAUGCUGUUAAUGUAAUUCCAAGGGUUUGGUUGGUGAAUAAAGAAUUUUGUUUCCUUUUUAAAAAAUUUUGUAAUUGACUAAUUAUUCUAAAUUCAACAUCAGACAGACCAACAAGUAAUUGUGAUACUUGUUCUUUAGAUUUUUAACUUCAUCAUAUCCUUCAGCCACUUGAUACCACUAACAUGUUUCUAUAGUUUAGACUCUUUAUUAAUGUGUAUUAAAAUGCUUGAAUUUAAUUUAAAAAAUUACUUUGGCAUUUAUUUUUUAUUUUUUCGUAUAAAAAAGAGUGUUGAAUUUAUUGUUUUUGAGUCAUCGUAUUUUCACUACAAGAUUUCACAGUUUUACCGACGGAAAAAUUCCGUCGGUGUGUGAUUAGAAGUUCGUCGGUGAUUUUUUUACUGACGUCAUCACCGACGGAUUACGUCUGUCGGCUUUCCUUUCGUCGGUGAUUCCCCCUUCCGUCGCUAUAUCGGAUGGAAAAACAAAAAAACCAUUUGCCGAUGGUUUUACAGACGGAAUUUGCGCGCCAAAAAAAAAGAUUCCCGCUUGAAAUAUGCCGACGGAUUUGUAUUCCGUCGGUGAUAUUGUGAUUGACCGACGGAAACUAAUCGUCAGUAAAUCUGUCGGUGAGUGUAUGAAAUACCGACCGAAUAUAUCCGUCUGUAAAUUCGUCGGUACUAGUGGCAGCUACUGUUAAAUGCCGACGGAUUAAUUCCGUCGGUAAAUCUGUCGGUGAGUGUAUGAAAUACCGAUCGAAUAUAUCCGUCUGUAAAUUCGUCGGUACUAAUGGCAGCUACUGUUAAAUGCCGACGGAUUAAUUCCGUCGGUGAGUGUUUAAAAUACCGACCAAAUUAAUCUGUCGGUAAAAUCCUUGGUAAUAGUUUUUUUCUAAAUUUGUUUUUAAAAAAUUAUUUAGGAUAUAUAAUAUAAAACUAUAUAAAUUAAUUGUAAUACAAACCAAUUAUGCAAAUAAAAUUUAUAUUAAACAUUAAAAAAAAACAAAGUUAAAUAAUAUUCAUUACAAACUGAAUAUGUUUCAAGAAAAAUAUUAAAUGAAGUUUUAAAGGUAAAUAAUGUUUAUUACAAAUUAAUAUAAAGGUGGAGCUGGAGGAGGAGGAGGAGAUCCUGGAGGAGGCUGGUGGUUAUACGGCCAAAAAAGAUUAGGUGCACAUGUUCCACUAUUUGCCAUGUUCAUAAUCAUUUCGCGAAGCUGUUCAUAAGCCGUUUUUUGUUGUUCAGACUCUGCUUUUUGUUGUGCUUGAGACGCUUUGAUUUGCUCAGACUCCGCUCUUUGUUCCGCUCUUUGUUGUGCAUGAGACGCUUUGAGUUGUGCGUACUCCGCUGAUAGGUUAUCGUAUUUCUCGGUGAGCUGAGUCGUGUGUUGCUGCAAGGCCACGAACUCCUUAGAUUGGGAGCUCGAUAUUGAUUGGGAGCUCCCAACGGUUGAAACACUAUGGGUCGACCGCAAGUUGUCGGCCGUAGUGUUGGAGAGCCCGUAAAUCCGAUUUUUAUCGGGUCCACCUGACGAGCCAACCUCCAUCCACAAAUCCGGAUCGAAUUCCGGAUGGGUCAAAAUAUCGUCCCCGUAUCUCUCCCUCAACCGAUUAUUAUAGGUCUCCUGAAAAUAAAAUAAAAAGUAAUCAUCAUAUUCAAUACAAUAAACAUAAUAACUUACAUAAUAACUUACAAAAUAAAAUGGUUGAACAAACAUACCACGAAAUGUUGAGCACGGUUAUCAACGAACUGUUGCGCCCCCUUCUGGCGGUCUUGAUUCUGCACGUGCGUCUCCACAAACAGCUCGAUCGGGCUCGGCUCACGUCUAAGAGACGCAGCCUAUAAUGAAAAAAGAUGUAUUAACAACAACUGAAUUUAACGAUAUAUUUCAUUUAAAUUAAUCUUACCAUCCGUUUCGCAUGUGCAGCAAACGGAACAGAGCCGCCAGUGUGCGUUGUCACCCCGCCAUGAAUUGGCUGAUUCCGGUUGCCAGCACCGGACUGUGAGCGUCGUGUGAACCGCUCAGACGUCACGUGCUCAAGAUAGUGCGGCCAUAUAUCUUCCGGGAUGUAUAUCGGUUUGAAAUCCCUCCAAACCGCAACAUCGUUCCAGCCUUGGAAACCCCUAUCCCUCGCGGUUUUUUUUGCCUUUUUUUGUGCUUCAUACCAAAAAUCACGCAACCUACUUCACGCAACCAAAAAUUACAUUUCGAAACAUAAAUUUUUGUCUAAAAAAAUCUUGUAUUGUUUUCGAUCUUACCUAAUUGCCGCGUGAUUUUCCCACACCCUCCUCACAACAGUGUUAUGCUCACUGUCCCAGCAGAAUUUGUGCUGUGUAUAAAUAAACAAGUUUAAAUAAAAAUAAUAAUUUAUUUACAAUUAUAUUAAUAAGCUGAAAAUUAUAAAUUAAUACCAACCUCAAACCUGUUAAACCAUGCAUUGAUUUGAGGCAUCCAUUCAGGAUGCUUGGAUAUCUAACUCCAUUGAAACAAUGGAAUCUCCAUCGACGAUUUAAACGCCGAUGAUAUUACUCGGGCGGCUUCAAUGUUUGUGAACCUGAAAAUAAAUGAAAUAAAUUCAAUAGUGAUUACUUCAUAAAUUAUGUUGUAAUUUUUUUUUAAAAAAAACUAAAACCUUAACAAACUUACAUUGAAAGGUUGUUCUUCCACUGUGCCUCGUACUUGCGGGUAAAUUGAUUUCGUUGCGAAGGCACGCCGCCUUUGCGCUGUGAAGUACUGCUGGAAGAGGCAGCAUCGGUUGACGGCGCAGGUGGUGUAGGUGCCUCUUCUUGAGAGGCACCUAAGGAAAUAUCAUCCUCGCUGCUAGACGAACUAGCUGCGACCAUACUUGAGCGACCAGCUCUGGUUUUCGUUCUACGCAUCUACACAAUUUUAUACAAAUAAUUAUAUAAUUAAAUUCAAAUGUAAAAAAAAAAAUUCGACAGCACCUCCCCUAUACCGGAUACUACCCAAAUCCACAAACCUGCACAUAUUAACAAUAGCCACAACCAAUUUACCCAAUCUAUACUAAUUAUUCCAACAUAUUCAAUUACUAAUCCUAAGGUAAAUUCAACAUUAAGAAUUACAAUUCAACAAAUUAUUCAAUAAUUAUGCCAAUACAACAAAACAAUAAAUUAAAAAAAAAAAACUAUAGAAUAACAAUCAAAAUAAAUGGAAAAAAUUAAACACAAAGCAUGCAAUAAUAGAGUAAAAUUAAUAAUUAUUCCAACAUAUUCAAUUACUAAUUCUAUGGUAAAUUCAACAUUAACAAUAAAUAUUCAACAAAUUAACUAAUAAUAAUUAUGCCAAUACAACAAUAAAAAAUAUUCAAUAAAUUCAAAAAAAAAACUAUAGACUUUAGCAAUGAAUUAUGCAAAAAAAACUAUAGACUUUAUCUACAUUACAAAAAAUACACCAAAACAAAAAACAUAACAAAAAAAAUAGCAAAACAAAACCCUUAAAGUAAAAUGAAAUAGAAGAAAUACAAACCUUUUAAACUGAUGGAGAUUCACGAGAUAAGAUGCUAGAGAUCGCUGGUGAAACCUUUGAAGAAACCUUUGAAGAACGGAGUGAAGAACCGAGAGGAAAAGAAUCGGUGAAAAACUGAGGAGAAGAAAAAAUUAACUGAAGAGGCGGUCGGGGGAACUUAAAUGCCAGUUUUACCGAUGGAUUCAUCGACGGAUAUAAAAUUAAUUAUUAUUUUAAUUUAUUCCGUCGGUGAGGUGUUAAAAAUCCAUCGGUAAAUUUUGAAUUUCGCACCAAAUUUUUCAAUGACCCUCCAUAUUUUUCGUGGUCCGUCGGUAAAUCCAUCGACAAUAUGACGCGGCCAGAGAUGCAUUUAAUGCACAACCCUUUGAAAUUCGCGCGGUCCGUCGGGAAUUUUAUCGGUAAAAUUGACCCGCCGACAACGUGUCGACGGUUAUAAAUUCGUCGGUAUGCACGUUGGUGAAUGUGGCAUUUCAAGUAAUUAUUUUCGAACUCUCUGUGAAAUACCGACGGACUUAAGGCCGUCGGUGAUGUGGUGGCAUUUCAAGUAAUUAUUUUCGAACUCUCUGUGAAAUGCCGACGGACUUAAGGCCGUCGGUGUGGCCAUGUGGUGGCAUUUCAAAUAAUGAUUUUCGAACUCUCUGUGAAAUGACAACGGACUUAAGGCUGUCGGUGUGGCCAUGUGGUGGCAUUUCAAGUAAUUAUUUCGAACUCUCUGUGAAAUGCCAACGGACUUAAGGCCGUCGGUGAUGUGGUGGCAUUUCAAGUAUUUAUUUCAUUUUACAAAAUAUAUCAUCCAUGAUCAAUAAUUAUUUCAAGUAAUUAUUUCGUAAUUGUGGCAUUUCAACUAAUUAUUUCAAGUAAUAAAUAUUUUGUGUUUCAAAAUAUAUCAUCCAUAAUCUAAAUUACUUGAAAAAAGGGUUUUACAUAGGGCUUCAUUUUGGUAGUUAGUCAGAAAUUUCUUCUUUUUCGUCAUCAAUUGAAUUGUCAUCACCUUCAUCGCAAUCUUCAAUAUGAAUAUCAUCUUCUUCAUCGAUAUUUGCUUGUCCGCUAGAGCUCAAAACAAAAUUCAACUCCUCUGCGUCAACAUCAACAAGACUAUUAUCGAAGACAUGAAAAUUUGAAUUUUCUUCCAAUUCAAUCAAAGGAGCAACUCGAUAUGGUUCAACCACCUCACUAACUUGAAAGACUUCAUCUCGCACGCUUGUGUCUUCGUUCUCAUCCUGAACAACCUCGACACGACCCUGGGGUUUCGUUUUUAAAACGGACAACCAAUCCACUCUUGAUCGAUCCUUUCUAAAUGAAGGGGUGUAUGUGUAACAAACUUGUUGACAUUGCUUUGCGAAAACAAAGACAUCGUUUAUGUUGCGGAGUCUAGCUUUUGAGUUGAUUUCGACCAGACCAUAGUGCGGAUCAACUCUAAUUCCUCUGUCAGUCGUGUCAUACCAAUAGCAUUUGAAUAAAAACACUAUAUUCUGCUCGUUAUGAUAUUGCAGUUCGACGACCUCUUCUAAUCUACCAUAGUAGUCAACCUCUAACUCACUACUAGUGGAUCCCUUAACACAAACACCGCUGUUGUAUGUCUUUCUUCCUUGCCCGUAUUUUUCAGUAUGGAAAACAUAUCCAUUGACAAAAUACCCGUUGUAGCACUUACAUUUUCUUUCAGGCCCCAGGCUUAGUGAAGACAAUGACUUAGGUGCACUCCUUCCCAUUUGAUAAACCUUGUAUGUAAUGUACAUCAAUAAACAGUAAAUGAACGAGAAUCUCGUAAUGACAUGCAUACGUACAAUAAUUUUGCAAGUUAGAAUGAGUUUGUGAUAGUGCUUACAUGUGUUCUGAACCACAUGACAAACUGCUCAUCUUGUAAUUGAAAGAUCUAGGAUUCGGUCAGCUGUGAGUUAUUGGAGAGCAAAUAUUGUCGAUGUUGCCUCCAAGUGAUAAUGAGUGUAUGAUAUUACAAUAUAUAAUUAACAGUAUAUUACUAACAAAGUUUAAUUAGUAUAGACUUACUGAAUAAAAGGUCUCAGCUCAUCACAGUUAAAUAGAACAUAGUUGUGUGCUUGUUUGAACUCUAUUUUCGACAAAUAUCUUCCUCUUAUGGCAUUUUUAGGUGUGGGUCGUCCAAUAUUGGAGAAUAUUGACAAGUUCCCACUGGAAGGCACUUCACCGCCAUCAUCAUGUCGUGGAAUGCGAUUGAUUCUCGUUCUUAGGUGAGGUUCGAAAUAGUACGAGAUAAAUGUUGAGAUCUCCUCAACAAUAUAGGCCUCACAUAUCGAAGCCUCAACAUGCGCCUUGUUCUUAACCUUUUUCUUGAGAUUAAACAAGUACCUGCAUUGAAAUAUUAAUCAAGUAUUUUCAAUUAAGAAAAACAUAUAAAAUACUUUUAUAUAUGAAUUACAUUGCAACUGUAAUAUCUAACCGUUCGAAUGGGUACAUCCAUCUAUAUUGGACCGGUCCUCCAGCUUUUGCCUCGAACGGUAGAUGUAUAGGGAGAUGCUCCAUUGAGUCAAAAAAUGAUGGAGGGAAUAUCAUCUCAAGUUUGCAUAGUAUCUCGACGAUAUUCGUUUGAAGCCUCUCAAUGUGAUUAACAUUCAACUUGCUGGAGCAUAUAUCUCUGAAGAAAUGACUGAUCUCCGUGAGUGCAUCCCAUAUGCCCUUUGGCAACAAAUCACGAAAAGCUAAUGGGAUGAGUGUUUGCAUAAACACGUGGCAGUCAUGACUCUUCAUUCCAUACAAUCUGCAGUCCUCUAUAUUAACCAGCCUUGAUAUGUUCGAUGCAUGUCUAUCUAGAAAACGCAGACUCUUAAGCCAUUUGUAGACUAGCAGUUGUGCGUUUUUCUCUAACACGAAGCUUGCUCUUGGUUUUACGACCCGUGACUCAUCAUAAACCAACUCUAUAUUUUUACGGUUACAGUAUAAAGCUAUAUCCAAUCUAGCCUUGAUGUUGUCCUUUGUCUUCCCCUUCACAUCCAUGACGGUGUUGAAAAUGUUCUCAAACAUGUUCUUUUCGAUGUGCAUGACGUCAAGGUUAUGGCGGAGCAGAUUGGUCUUCCAAUAAGGAAGCUCCAAAAAAAUACUUCGCUUUACCCAAUUAUGGGUCAAACCAAAACCAGGAAACUUUUGCUUACCUGAUUGAAGGCCAAACACAAUGUCACCGUACUCUGAGACAACAUCAUGCAAUUCUUCACCAGAAAGACGCGGGGAUGCAACAUCUUUUUCAACUCUGCCAACAAAGAAAUCUUUUCUGUUCUUUCUGUACCUGUGAUUAAGUGGCAAGAAGCGACGGUGACAGUCAAAAAAAGAAGCUUUACCUCCAUUUGCUAGCGUGAAUGCCUUGUUGUUUUCCAUGCAGUAUGGACAUGCGAGUUUCCCAUGCGUGCUCCAACUAGAAAGCAUUCCAUAAGCUGGAAAAUCAUUGAUAGUCCACAUCAAAGCCGCCCUCAUAAGGAAAUUUUGUUUCCUCGAUAUAUCAUAAGUCAGAGCUCCGGAGGACCACAACUGCGCCAACUCAUCAAUCAACGGUCGAAGACAAACAUCUAUAUUCCGCCCCGGGCUUCUUGGACCGGGUAUGACAGUAGAUAAAAACAUGAACUCCGGCCUCAUACACAUUCCCAGUGGCAAGUUAUAAACUGUGAGUAUGACCGGCCAACAAGAAUAAGGAGCAGCAAUUGACCCAAAUGGGUUGAAUCCGUCUGUACACAACCCAAGACGCACAUUCCUUGAUUUAGCUGAAAAGUGAGGAUGAACACUGUUAAAGCGUUUCCACGCUUCGCCGUCAGAAGGAUGAACCAUCACUCCAUCAACCGCAUGGUGUGCUUGGUGCCAUGUCAUGUGCUCAGCAGUCCUUGGUGACAUGAAUAACCUCUGCAGUCUAGGUGUGAUCGGGAAGUAUCUAAGUUUUUUAUAUGCCACUAGAGUCUUUCCCCUGCCAGUUCUAGGUUUGCAACGGGAAUGCCCGCAUGUCAUGCACUCGGUCAUCUCAGCGUUUUCAAGGUAGUAUAACAUGCAGAAGUUAGGGCACAUGUCAAUUUUUUGGUAUCCUAAACCGAGGGGUUGCAUCAUGGACUUCGCAGCAUAGAAGUUCUCUUUCAGCCUGUUCCCUUCAGGUAAAAUGCUUCUUGCCCAUUCAAUAAUCUUGUCAUACCCGGCCUCACUUAACCCGUGAUCUGACUUGAUGGUGAACACCUGUGCUACGGCCGAUAAUUUACUGUGGUUCGUGCAGCCAUCCCAUAAUGGUUCAUCAGAAUCUUUCAACAAAUCAAAAAACCUAGUUGCAUCUCCAUUAGGUUCUUCUUCUACGAUUGGACAUUGACUGACAUUACCUUGAUUCAUUCUCAUUGCAUCCAUAACCAUAUUUCUGUAAGGAUUAGUGUUCUCAUUUGCCGCUUCAUGCACGUUGCUAGCUCUAGAAGUAGACCCAACCACCGUUUCUUCCAUUCUCCUCUCACUCUCGCUAACAAAUACUUCUCCAUGUGCAUACCAACACUGGUAAUUCUCCAUAAACCCUUUGCGAAGAAGAUGCAUCAUUACAACAUCUGGAUGCAGAUACUUUUUAUUUUGACACUUCCUGCAUGGACACCUAAUACCGCCUCCAGUAAAAUUUCUAGGAAUAGAUGUUGCGAAAUUAAUAAAACCCUGAACCCCGUUACAAUAAUCCAUCCUCCGCAAUCCUUGGGGUGAAUCUCGAUACAUUCAUGAACGAUCAUCCAUGAUUUAUAUCGAACCUCUAUAAAAUUAUGAUGACAUAAUUUAUUAAUUAACUAAGUUAGGUAAAUAAACUUGCAAAAAUAUUACUUUACCUCGAGAUUAUCCAACAAACCAAUCACAACUUCUCAUAAAUAUUAAAUAUUCAUUAGCAUUUAUCAAUGUCCAUACAAAUUAAAAUAUAUAAAUUUACAGAAAUUACCACUCCGCAAUACCAUUGACAAAACUUUAAACGGACCCAUUAAGUAAGCUAUUAAUUAUUUCAAAACAGCACAUGUACUUCGGUAGUUCCAUAAAGUUUUAACGGUUUACAAACAAAUACAAUCUUACAAAAUCUAAAAUAAACCAUAACAGGUAUAGAAUUAUACAUUCAUAUACUACAAGUUUGUUUGAGAAAUAACAAUAAAACAUAUACAUUUACUAACAAAAUACAUAUACUAAAAAAACGAUAAAAUUGACAUUUAAUUAAAUGUUAAAAUUUAAAAAGAAAGAAUUACUUACAAAAAUUGAUAAAAUCCUUCGGUAAAUCAAAACACGGAUGCUGUGACCACAAAACUUCAAGAAAUAUAACUUGUUGUGCUGAUAUGAGGGAGAUUUUUGUUUGGGGGGAGGGGGGGCUGGUUGUUUGCAGAUGGGGAGAGUUGGGAUUAGGAAGAAGAAGGAGAAAUAGGGGAGGAGAGGGUCGGUGGACAUAUAUUAACUUUCACCGACGGAAUAUCCGUCGGUUAAACCGUUGAUGAUUCUGACGGAACAAUCGACACGUCACCGCACGGAUCUGCCAUUUCAAAUCCGUCAGCGAUUCCGUCGGCAAUAUAAACGGCGGUCACUGUACGGGCUGUCUUUUUGAAUCCGUCGGUGAUUCCGUCUGAAAAAAUAACCCGCCAAAACCUCCACGUCAGCGACCCGUUUUUUUUUUUAUGACGAAAACGUUUCCGUCCAUAAUUCAGUCGGUAACUACCGACGGAAAUUGUCUGUCGGUAGUUACUGACUGAAUUACGGAUGGAAUAUUGUCCGUCGGUAAUUUUGACCUCAAAGUACCGACAGAAAUAUUCCGUCAGUAAAUCCGUUGCUAUUUAGCGAAUUUCUGGUAGUGUUUGGAGUAAAUAUAAUUUAGUCCUUGAUUUAAUUUUCUUAAUUGAGUCCGGUGUAUGAUGACACCAACCUGAGGUCAAUUUUCAGCUCUAUAAAUUAUCUAGCUAGUUGUGCUUGCUGAGAGAGCAAUUAGCCAUGGAGAAUGGGACGAGCAAGAUCCUCAUAUUUGGGGGAACUGGCUACUUAGGCAAGUAUAUGGUGAAAGCAAGUGUUUCAAUGGGUCACAAAACUUACGUAUAUGCUCGUCCCAUCACCACACAAUCUUCUCCUGCUAAAAUAGGCAUCCGCAAGGAAUUCCAAGCCAUGGGGGUCACCAUUGUUCAAGUAUCUAUUGAUUAAUCUAAUUACCCCUUCGUUUUCUAAUUUACCAACAUUCAUCUUGAUUACCCUUCAAUCUACAUGUACGUGUUCAAAAGAAUGACGUUAUAUAACUAAAUAGUUUUCAAGUGUUGCAGGGAGAAUUCGAUGAGCAGGAGAAACUUGUAUCGGUUCUUCGUCAUGUGGAUGUAGUAAUCUCCACAGUAGCUUAUCCUCAGGUUCUCGACCAACUUAAAAUCAUAGAAGCCAUAAAAGUUGCUGGUAAUAUAAAGGUAUAUAUCCUCUUGUUAAAGUAUAACAAUUUGGAGAAUGUUAUAUAUAGUUAUGUGCAUGUAUGGUGGUGGGAUAGCUAAGCUUGUGCAUGUAAUUUUCUGUGCAUACUAGAGGUUCUUUCCGUCAGACUUUGGAGUUGAAGAGGACAGAGUGACUCCCUUGCCCCCAUUUGAAGCUUUCCUUGAGAAGAAGAGGAAGAUUAGAAGGGCCACAGAGGAAGCCGGAAUCCCUUACACUUUUGUGUCAGCAAAUUGCUUUGGUGCAUAUUUUGUCAAUUACUUGCUCCGUCCACAUGAGCAACCUCAAGAUAUCUCUGUCUAUGGCUCUGGUGAAGCUAAGGGUACGAAAACAUCCAUUCCAUUCAUUCAUUAUCGUCAUUGUGUAAAUAAAAAUCCAAAUUUACUGUACACGUACACUACAUCAGUAUCUAUAUAUUAUGUUUAACAGCGGUGAUAAACUAUGAAGAAGAUAUAGCCAUGUACACCAUCAAAAUAGCUGAUGACCCCGAAACAUGCAAUCGAGUUGUAAUCUAUCGGCCGCAGAAGAACAUUGUAACUCAGCUUGAACUUAUUUCCCUUUGGGAGAAGAAGACUGGAAAGACAUUUAAUAGGAUUUACGUCCCUGAGGAUGAGAUAGUGAAGCUCUCUAAGAGUAAGAAAUUUCUGUUGACUCGUUAUUUUUUAAUAUUUGAUAUAUUUUGGCUUCUUGCCCUUUUCAUUUGAUUAAUGGGAUUCUUCCAUUCUAUAUAUAUAUAAAAUAUGUGUUGUUAGAAAAAAUGUCCUAUAUAAUUUUUUUUUAUCCCAAACUACAUUGUCAGGUGAUUUCUUUUCACCUUUUAAAAGCAUUUGACUUCUUGCUAACAUCUGUUGCAGCCCUUCCACAUCCACAAAAUAUUCCAGUUUCUAUUCUUCACAGUUUGUUCGUGAAGGGUGACAUGAUGGGGUUUGAACUGGGAGAGGAUGACUUGGAGGCUUCUGGGCUAUAUCCAGACCUGGAAUUUAGAACAAGCGAUCAACUUCUUGAUAUUUUUCUCACUAGCCCUCCAGAUCCUGCAGCUGCUGCUUUUGAAUGAGUUUUCUGAUC
rnacentral:lncRNA from 1 species